ensembl:lncRNA
AUUACUGACAGGUGUAGCACGCGUUGCUUUUUGUAGUCGCUGAAAAAUGACGCAACCGGAGCGUAUAAAAGAGCCCGUCCCCCGCAUGACGUUCUCUUGAGUCGUUGCUAUCGCUUGACGAGAACCAUCUUCUCAUCAUGAGAGCGAAGGUAAGUACAUUUUUCUUAUAUAAGUGUAAUCGAGUGUCUCAUUAUCUGGCUAGUCUUGCUAGCAUCUUCAGGGAUAAUAUAGUGUAAAUUACGCUACUGUUUGUUGUUUAACUGAAUAUUUUACUGUAAGCUUACUUUUAACCAUGUAGAAUGGUCACUUAACUGAGAGGUUUAGUGUGGUAUUUUGUAGUGUUAUAUAACGUACUCGGGCCUACUGUGCUAGCCUGCUAACACACUGUCGCAGAGGAUAUUGUUACCAGAUUGAACUUGCAGUCACUGCAUAUUGUUUUUUGCCCUUUUUAUUGUUUGCUUAUUUACGUUGGUAAAGUGGUUUAUAAACGUUGAUCUUAUCGCCUUUUUGUUUCUUAAAUAUUCCGCGCGAGCGGCCAUGCUGCAUGGUGAAAAUGCAGCCGAUAGCGCCAGUUGCGAAUGCGCAUGUGUGGGUUUAAUAAAUUACAAUGGUUUUUAACUGCCUAAUCCCAGUUUAUUAAUGUUUUUACCUUUCUUGCAGUGGCGAAAGAAGCGCAUGCGCAGGUAAAUGUGUAACUAUAUCAGAGCUGCAUCUUCUGGUCUGUCCCUUUGGAAUGGGCUUGAAGUGAUUGAAUCAUGUUUUUGUUCGUUUAAGGCUGAAGCGUAAAAGGAGAAAGAUGAGGCAGAGGUCAAAGUAAACUGGACCCUGUUUGCUGAAGCUGAGAGUGCUCCUCCACUUCAAUCUCCUCAGCAAGAGUCUGCUGGAAGCCCAACUGAAGCUCCACUCAUCCACCAUCUGUGAGGCCUGCUUUCUUCUGAACGAGGAUUUGGUUUUCCAUCACCUGGUUCUGCAGAAGCAUCCUGGUCUUGAUGACCAUGUGAACUGUUUUGGACAUUCCUCAGACCUGUCAGCUCAGCGUGCUUUUGUUCAUGUCUUCAAUAAAUCUUUUGGUUUAAAGAAUCCUUUUGCCUAAUGUUUUCUUUUGAAUGAAGUUAUUGGGUUUUAUUCGGGCUGUAUAAAAUUAUAAGAUCAAACUUGGGUAUUGCAGGAGCCAGUAGUGUUGGAAGGCACCAUACAUCUAGAAGGCUUUAAUUCCUGCCUUAGUGUAUUUAACUUGUGCUUGUCGCUUUUCCCUUGUGCUAGAACUUCUUAACCUAGCCUAAAUCAGCUUUUAAGUCUCUUAUUGCGUUACUUCUAGUCUAUGGGCUUUUAUAGCAUGCUAUAAUAAACUUCGCC